rnacentral:tRNA from 2 species
AGGAGUUUAGGUUAACCAGACCAAGAGCCUUCAAAGCUCUAAGUAAGCUAUAAAUGCUUAACUCCUG